ACCCGCUGAACUUAAGCAUAUCAAUAAGCGGAGGAAAAGAAACCAACCGGGAUUGCCUCAGUAACGGCGAGUGAAGCGGCAACAGCUCAAAUUUGAAAUCUGGCGUCUUCGGCGUCCGAGUUGUAAUUUGCAGAGGGAGCCUCGGGUCGAGGGUCGGUCCAAGUCUCUUGGAACAGAAUACCGCAGAGGGUGAGAGUCCCGUCUCCGGCCGACAGCGACGCCCAUGUGAGGCCCCUUCGACGAGUCGAGUUGUUUGGGAAUGCAGCUCUAAAUGGGUGGUAAAUUCCAUCUAAGGCUAAAUACCGGCCAGAGACCGAUAGCGAACAAGUAGAGUGAUCGAAAGAUGAAAAGCACUUUGAAAAGAGAGUCAAACAGUACGUGAAAUUGUUGAAAGGGAAGCGUAUGAGGCCAGACUUGGCCGCAGGUGCUCAGCCCGUCUUCUGGCGGGUGUACUCUCCUGCGGACAGGCCAGCAUCGGUUUCCGGGGCCGGACAAAGGCGACGGGAAUGUGGCUCCCCUCGGGGAGUGUUAUAGCCCGGCGCGCAAUGCGGCCUCUGGGGACCGAGGACCGCGCUUUAUGCAAGGAUGCUGGCGUAAUGGCCUUAUACGGCCCGUCUUGAAACACGG
rnacentral:rRNA from 1 species